UUUAUGGAAACGAGUACAGAGGUGGAGGGGGACCAUUAAAAAACAAAACAAAAAAAAACAACAAAUGGCGCAUUAGGCUGGAAGGUGGGCUUGACGAUACGCGCGCGCUUGUGAAAGCAGAGCUGCGUGCCUGUUUCCCUGCAUUCCUAUGAAGUGACAAUUCAAAGGCUCUCAGUGUGCAGACUUUGCUCACAGUGCAGGCUGUGUGCUCUACCAAUCUGUGCUUUCUGGUCAUUUCAGCGAGGCUGAUAUCUCUUCGCUCUCAUUCUGAACAAGCCAUGAGCAACUUUUUAAGACGCGCGAGCUGUCCUCAACGUUAACACGUCCGUGUUUGAGGUGUUGGAUGUCGUCUUGUGUGUCUUCAGCGAGCGGCGCAGUUUUGUCUUGCUACAGCCUGCCUGCUUU
ensembl:lncRNA